UCCAAAAUAAAAGAAGAAAAGGCAUAAUAACAUGAUCAGCAACUAAGACUAAGAACAGGCAACAGGCUAAAUGAUGAGCAACCUUAUUUUCAUGUCUACUAAUAUAAUUGCAAGUGAAACUAGAAAAGCACAAGAAACUUAAGGUAAGAAUAUCAAAAAGAGAGAGGACCGAGUCGAGUUGAAUUAUAAGUAAUGGAUUUAGCUACUGUCA
rnacentral:lncRNA from 1 species